rnacentral:lncRNA from 1 species
ACCUUACUCGUUCUUUCCUAAUGCCCAAGGCAUCUUUGAGUGGAAGGGUGGUAGCAAGGAAGAAAGUAACAAAGAAAGGAAGGGGGAGAGGAAGAAAACAGUUAGUGACCAUCAGGUCUUUUCUUAGACUCACAAUUUGGAGCCUUGGGAAGAUAUGUGACAAUGUCAGCAUCCAUAUUCAAAUGGCCAGCAAUGUACGCACAUCUCCUGGAUGGGAUGAAAAAGCAUCUGUUUUGCAAACUGCUGAAUAAAAGAUUUAUAAUUGUAACAGACAUUUGAAGUUUGCAU